AACGAACGCUGGCGGCAUGCCUAAUACAUGCAAGUCGAACGAGACCUUCGGGUCUAGUGGCGCACGGGUGCGUAACGCGUGGGAACCUGCCCUUAGGUUCGGAAUAACUCCCCGAAAGGGGUGCUAAUACCGGAUAAUGUCUUCGGACCAAAGAUUUAUCGCCUUUGGAUGGGCCCGCGUUGGAUUAGCUAGUUGGUAGGGUAAAAGCCUACCAAGGCGACGAUCCAUAGCUGGUCUGAGAGGAUGAUCAGCCACACUGGGACUGAGACACGGCCCAGACUCCUACGGGAGGCAGCAGUGGGGAAUAUUGGACAAGGGGCGAAGGCCUGAUCCAGCAAUGCCGCGUGAGUGAUGAAGGCCUUAGGGUUGUAAAGCUCUUUUACCCGGGAUGAUAAUGACAGUACCGGGAGAAUAAGCACCGGCUAACUCCGUG
rnacentral:rRNA from 1 species